UACCGGUUUCCGUACGAUCACCGAAGUUAAGCAAUGUUAAAUCUGGUCAGUACCUAGAUAGUUACCCGCUUGGGAAUACCAGGUGCUGUAAG